rnacentral:rRNA from 1 species
UACGAGGGGGGCAAGCGUUGUUCGGAAUUAUUGGGCGUAAAGGGUGCGUAGGCGGUUUGGUAAGUCUUAUGUGAAAUCUACAGGCUCAACUUGUAGUCUGCAUGAGAAACUGCCGGGCUUGAGUAUGGGAGAGGUGAGUGGAAUUCCUGGUGUAGCGGUGAAAUGCGUAGAUAUCAGGAGGAACACCUGUGGCGAAGGCGGCAUCCUGGACCAUUACUGACGCUGAGGAGCGAAAGCCAGGGGAGCAAACGGG